rnacentral:lncRNA from 1 species
UUGACGACGAAAAUUCCUCAGUCUGGAAACAACCGCGCAGUAGAACGGACGGACGAGAAUCGCGCUCCGCAGAUUUCGAGUAUCGGGUUUUCUACCUCCUGGAUCUUGCGCUUCGGGUACGCUUCCUGAUGCAACUCGACUUCCAGGACAAGCGCUCCGUAGUUCUGGCUGUCCAGGUCCUUGACCUGGUGACUUUCGAUCUUCAAGACUAAUUUUCCGUAGAUUUGGCCGUCCAGGUCCUCCACCUGGUGGAUCUUGACCUCCAGGACAAGCGCUCCGUGGUUCUGGCUGUCCAGGUCCUUGACCUGAUGACUUUUGAUCUUCCGGACUAAUUUUCAAGUUUACAAGUUUGAUUAUUGAAAACGUCAUGUUUUGUACUAUCAACCCAAUAUGCAUGCUUCAGAUGGCACUUUGAAUUGGAAAAAAAACCGAAAAACCAGGAUAAAGAAAUUGCAAUUGGCAGAUUCGGUUUGCGUCACGUGCACAAAGACAGUGUUCAUUCUGUAUACUGUGAAGUAAAUACCAGAAUUUUUUGAGGAGUCAUCGUGCCCCAGUCUCCCCUACAACUAUGUCAUCUGUUAAAACACUGACAACGAAUAAGCGAGCGAACGAGCACAAGAACCAGUUACACUAGGCAUCCGACGCCGAGCGAGCUUUAGCGAGCGAGGGUUUCAAAACUAGUCACUUUUAAUGGAAAUGGAAUGGAUUUUACGAUCAGGAUGAAAAGUUCAGGAAUUUCCACAGGUUGGAUGCACUUUAAUUAUGAGGAUAACAGAUCUUGAAACUGAAAACCUCUGGGGUUGGUCUUGCAUUCUUUGCGUCACCUACGUACCAAAAUUAAAAUUUAGUUUUCAUUCCCAAUGGCUCUGAAUGGACAUUCUUGUAUGUAUAAAUUGAGCGUAAUGAUAAUCAAAAUUUUCGUCAUGUCUUCAACUCCAUGGGCUUUCUUGAUCCGCGUGAGCUUUCGUAAAAUUGCCCAGACUAGACAGUUUGCUGUAUCGACAUCUGGUCAAGUACCUUUGCGUCGCGAAAACUACUUCAAGGGAAUGUUCGGUGUCGACGAUGUGAAGUGGCAAGGUGCAGGAAAAAAUUCCAAAAAGUACCUGACUGGAAUAAAAUGCCGCUCGUAGGAAUGUGUAGAAAGUAUAAAGACGGGGAAAGGAUUGUAUUUGUCAAAAAUCAACGACAAAUGUACAACAACUUUUGCCCCUGUUGGUCGGAAAAGUUUCGCAGGGAGAAAUUUCUCCGAUUUCUACCGUUGGCUGAACUUAAAUUUUAAUGAAGUCCAUGCACGAGGACCGGUGUGCGGACAGAUGCUCGUACUUGCUGUACUAAAAUAUUCAGAAAUCACGUCGCAUCUAAUCAAAGCUUACAUUCGUACACAUAUAGAAGAAAUAUUCGUACGCAGGAGAAAAAAAAUAAAAAAAUUCACAUUUCCAUCAGACGUGGAUUGGUACUCGACGGGUAACGUCAUGCGUUAAGAAUGCAUGCGGAGGAAUAAAAUUUUGUGUAAAUUGUGUGAAUUUUUUUUACCCGCAGUGAAAUAUCGUGCAGGAUUUCUCACUGGUUUUUUGUUUGUUUCUUUCUUUUUUGUCGAAUUUACGCAAGUUAAAGCCGCGGUUAAAAACUUGCGGAUGAAAAUCGAAAGACUAAUACCUGUACAACAGAGACACCGCCGGUGGAACGAAGCGCGCGUUUAUAUGAACUUUAUCCUUAAGGUGAAAAAUAUACGAGUAUACCUAUAUGUAUAGCUUGCAGCGUUGCGAUUCGCGAUGCAGGGAUAACACUGAUGCACAUGUAGUUGAUUAUCUCCUUGUUACCGUCCUACCAGAAAGUUUUCUCCGCUGCGCCGAGGUAUAUGACCCUUGUUUAAAUAAUUAUUUAAUUAAUUAGGCGCCCUAACAGCCAUGAGAGAUGCUAAAGCCAUGUGGCUGAUAACCACGAGCUUGGUGUAGCGGUAAAGUACUCUCCUCUGAACUCGGCUGUCGCCAUGCUCUAUUCACACUCUCGAAGUUCCUCCGCCGCGUGACAACGAUGAAGCACAAUUGCCUCCCGCUAUAUCCCUCCUCUCCCUCUACUCCCUUCACUCCCUCCACUUCUCUCUACUUCUCUCAAGAUAAUUCUCCCACAGUGUGGAAACGCGGAUAAUGCAGCGAACCAAAUCUCACGUGCAAAUCGAGGCGGGUAAAAAACGGUGGGAUACGAAGGCAAUUACAAAAUCACUCUUCCGACCACCAUUGACAUACUUAAUGGGAUAAAAAUCCAGUCAGUCAAUCGCAAGAGUUAGGUACAUAUAAAUUUAGCAGCACUCAGCCCCCGAAAAUUUGUAAAAUAUGAGAAAAUGGAUCCGACAAACUGGAUAGCUAGAGAAUAGAAA